AUUGAACGCUGGCGGCAUGCUUUACACAUGCAAGUCGAACGGCAACGCGGAGAAGCUUGCUUCUCUGUCGGCGAGUGGCGAACGGGUGAGUAUAGCAUCGGAACGUGCCAAGUAGUGGGGGAUAACCAAACGAAAGUUUGGCUAAUACCGCGUAAGCUCCAAGGCGGAAAGUAGGGGACCUAAAUAAGGCCUUACGCUAUUUGAUCGGCCGAUGUCGGAUUAGCUAGUUGGUGGGGUAAUGGCUCACCAAGGCAAUGAUCCGUAGCGGGUCUGAGAGGACGAUCCGCCACACUGGGACUGAGACACGGCCCAGACUCCUACGGGAGGCAGCAGUGGGGAAUUUUGGACAAUGGGGGAAACCCUGAUCCAGCCAUGCCGCGUGUAUGAAGAAGGCCUUAGGGUUGUAAAGUACUUUUGUUAGGGAAGAAAAGCUAGUUUUUAAUAAAAAGUAGUGAUGACGGUACCUAAAGAAUAAGCACCGGCUAACUACGUG
rnacentral:rRNA from 1 species